AUCAACGCUGGCGGCGUGCCUCAGACAUGCAAGUCGAACGCGAAAGUUUCCUUCGGGAGACAAGUAGAGUGGCGCACGGGUGAGUAACACGUAGGUAAUCUACCUUUGGAUGGGGAAUAACAACCGGAAACGGUUGCUAAUACCGCAUAAUGCAGCGGCACCUAAUGGUGACAGUUGUUAAAGCGGGGGAUCGAAAGACCUCGCGUCUAAAGAGGAGCCUGCGGCGGAUUAGCUAGNGGUAAGGUAAUGGCUUACCAAGGCUACGAUCCGUAACCGGCCUGAGAGGGCGGUCGGUCACACUGACACUGACAUACGGGUCAGACUCC
rnacentral:rRNA from 1 species